UAAAACCCGCAUUAAUUAAACUAGCUAUAAAUCUAUAAUAUUUAUUAUAGAGUAGCUUUUUCAGUCUCCCCGCAUUAAUUCAUGUGCAUGUAGGCAAGCUGAGGUGACCGUUUUAAAACUGAUGGUGCCUGCCCCCAUAUAGGAAAGAAAGUUGGAAAAUAUAAAACGAGAUGACUCUUAUUUUAGCUUCUCGUGAGAGCUCUCUCGAUCAGGAAAGGAUGAGUUGGUCGGAAGCAGAAAUUAACCAAGAAAGGAAAGAAGAGAAGAAUGGAGGGAACUAACGAAUCUAAGAAAGUAACUUUGGUCGUUGACGGGUUGGGGUUGCUUGCUCUGCGCCCACAAGGUUCUCCGGGAAGGCUACCGCCGGCCCUGCGGUGGAGAUGGGCUUGAGGCGAGGCAGUGAUGACCCCGUUGGCCAAGACGGUCGGGGACAUCCGAUGGAGGGUGUAGGACGAUGGGGGUAGCAUAUUGACAUUCUGAUGAAGACGGAUUAGCGCGGCGGUGGUAAGCGACGACUUGUCCAGCAGCAAAAGCCACCGGAGACGAAGUAGUUGGACA
rnacentral:lncRNA from 1 species